rnacentral:rRNA from 1 species
UAACUGAAGAGUUUGAUCAUGGCUCAGAUUGAACGCUGGCGGCAGGCUUAACACAUGCAAGUCGAGCGGGGGAAGGUAGCUUGCUACUGGACCUAGCGGCGGACGGGUGAGUAAUGCUUAGGAAUCUGCCUAUUAGUGGGGGACAACAUCUCGAAAGGGAUGCUAAUACCGCAUACGUCCUACGGGAGAAAGCAGGGGAUCUUCGGACCUUGCGCUAAUAGAUGAGCCUAAGUCGGAUUAGCUAGUUGGUGGGGUAAAGGCCUACCAAGGCGACGAUCUGUAGCGGGUCUGAGAGGAUGAUCCGCCACACUGGGACUGAGACACGGCCCAGACU